UCAAGCUACAAAGAGCACAAGGGGAAUGCCUUGGCACCGAGAGCCGAAGAAGGACGUGACUAACUGCGAUAAGCUGCGGGGAGCCGUAAGUGGGCUUUGAUCCGCAGAUUUCCGAAUGGAGCAAUCCGGCAAGAGGAAAGUCUUGUCAUCAUAUACUGAAUACAUAGGUAUAUGAGGGGAACCGCCUGAACUGAAACAUCUAAGUAGGGCGAGGAAGAGAAAUCAACUGAGAUUCCGUAAGUAGUGGCGAGCGAACGCGGAAGAGGCCAAACCGAGAGUAGUAAUACUUUCGGGGUUCGGACAGAAUACGGCAUUGUAAAGGUUUAGUGGAAUGGAAUGGGAAGUCCAACCGAAGAAGGUGAGAGUCCUGUACACGAAAAGCCUGAACAGCCAUCUGUAUCCAGAGUACCGCCGGACACGUGAAACCCGGUGGGAAUACGGGGGGACCAUCCUCCAAGCCUAAAUACUACUCGGUGACCGAUAGUGAAGAAGUACUGUGAAGGAAAGGUGAAAAGUACCCCUGACGGGGAGUGAAAAAGAACCUGAAACCUUGUGUUUACAAGCACCGAAAGCUCAUCAAAGAGCGAUCGGGUACCUUUUGUAGAAUGGUCCGGCGAGUGAAUGUAACCGGCGAGGUUAAGCACUUAAGGUGUGAAGCCGCAGCGAGAGCAAGUCUGAAUAGGGCGUAUGAAGUCGGUUGUAUUCGACCCGAAACCGGGUGACCUACCCAUGGUCAGGUUGAAGUAAAGGUAAAACUUUAUGGAGGACCGAACCGACUCCCGUUGAAAUGGUAGCGGAUGAACUGUGGGUAGCGGAGAAAUUCCAAUCGAACCCGGAGAUAGCUGGUUCUCUCCGAAAUAGCUUUAGGGCUAGCCUUGAAAUAGAUUACCGGAGGUAAAGCACUGAAUUGGCUAGGGGCCGAGAGGUUACUGAACCUUAUCAAACUAAGAAUGCCGGAUAAUCGUUUUUCAGGAGUCAGACAGUGGGAGAUAAGUUUCAUUGUCAAAAGGGAAACAGCCCAGACCCACAGCUAAGGUCCCCAAGUAUAGUUAAGUGGAAAAGGAUGUGGAAUUGCACAGACAACCAGGAUGUUGGCUUAGAAGCAGCCACUCAUUAAAAGAGUGCGUAAUAGCUCACUGGUCGAGUGACUCUGCGCCGAAAAUUUAACGGGGCUAAACUAUACACCGAAGCUUGGGAUACAUCUAAUGUAUGGUAGGAGAGCGUUCUGUAUGGGGAGAAGUCGUAGCGAAAGCGGCGGUGGACUAUACAGAAGUGAGAAUGCCGGAAUAAGUAGCGAGAAUUAAGUGAGAAUCUUAAUGGCCGAAAGUCUAAGGUUUUUGGAGGAAGGUUCGUCCGCUCCAAGUAAGUCGGGAGCUAAGGUCAGGCCGAAAGGCGUAGCCGAUGCACAUACGGUUGAUAUUCCGUAACCAUCUGUAAUUUAAGCAAAGGGACACUUCAAAAGGGUGUGACCCGGGCGUUGGUUGACCCGGGCGUAAGGGACCGAAAUUAGAGUAGGGAAGCACACUUGGCUGAAGGCGAGAAAAGCUUUGCGUAUAGAAACAGAUGCCCGUACCGCAAACCGACACAGGUGGACAGGAAGAGAAUUCUAAGGCCAGCGGGAGAAGGGUAGUUAAGGAACUCGGCAAAUUGACUCCGUAACUUCGGAAUAAGGAGUGCUCGAAAGAGCCGCAGAGAAUAGGCCCAGGCGACUGUUUAGCAAAAACACAGGUCUCUGCCAAAUCGAAAGAUGAAGUAUAGGGGCUGACACCUGCCCGGUGCCGGAAGGUUAAGAGGAGGAGUGAGAGCUCCGAAUUGAAGCCCCGGUAAACGGCGGCCGUAACUAUAACGGUCCUAAGGUAGCGAAAUUCCUUGUCGGGU
rnacentral:rRNA from 1 species